UAGGAUCUCUUUGAUGAAGAGGAGGAGCUGCCCAAGAGGAAGAAGACGCAGCGGAAGCUGCUGGCGGCCGCAGGGAGGCAGCCCAACAUCAAACAGAAGUUCGUGGCGCUGCUGAAGAGGUUCAAAGUGUCGGAGGAGGCGCUGUGCAUGGAGCGCGUCUCGCGGAUGCGGGCGGUGGAGGACCUGGACCUGGCCGAGGACCUGGACGAGCUGUGCGCGUCCCUCGGUCUGUCCAACCCCAGCGACAGCGGCGCCGACAUCGACGACACCGACAGUGUCAUCAGCACCCCGAAACCCAGACUCAGGUCACAAUGAGGAGCCCAUAGAG